GGCCUGGAGGAAGCGGGAGGAGGCGCGGGCAGCCGCCAGGGCGAGGCGACCCGGUGCGGGGGGACUCCCAUGGAGCGCGGACUCCUAAGGAAGUCGCUGGGAAUCCCACCGGCUGUACCGCAGGGCGUUAGUACCUAGAUGGCUUCGGUGCCCCCAAGCGAUGGGCUCAAGCUACAGGGCGGGCUUUGCACCUGGCCUUCUCAGCUCUGAGGCAGGCAGUGGGCAGCUUCGCCUCCACCCUCCGUCCAGCGCCCUUCCCAUGGGGCCAUCCGCCUCUCCCUAAGGCACUAAAAACCAGUGGAGGAGUCAGGCCAUGUUGGCAAAAAGGGCUCGGGCAGCAGCCCCAGACCUAUAGUCCUAAAUAUCCAUGUACCCAGCCCUGGGGUCGCGAGCCAUCUCAGGGACGACCCGAUUCCAGCGGAUGGAGAAGUUCCCUGAAAACACCUGCCUGGGAGGAGAGACGAGGGAACGAGAUUGGACAGUGCUUUACCAUGGAACUGAAACCAUGAAAAGUGAAACUGCAAAUGGGAGAGACUGCUGUAUAGUCACUGAAAAAUUAAUGGAUGAGCUCAACAGCAAAUUAGACACAACUGAAACCUUGGACCCAUGUGUGGAAGAUGACAGCAUCACCAACUGGAGGGUGCCUGGAUCCCUGAGUCACCACUUGAAGCAAAAAGGUCAAGAGUAGCCACCUGACCCAUAUCAGGCUAUGAAAUGAGCAGCAUCUGGUUGCUACAGCAACCCCAGCUCUGCAGGGUGUCCCGAUUACCAGCAGGCUCCCUGCACCUGCCUCAGGCUGAGAGCAGGCGGCUGCCGCCAAGGGGAACACCAAGGAAAUGCCCAUGUUCUGAUUCCAAGGUAAUGGCUCAGACCCAAGGGGAUUUUAUCUGUUCAAUGUGCAACCUGAUGAAGUUUUGUCCCAUGUUAAUAAUUUCAUUAAAAAUAUGGCCUUACAUCCUA
rnacentral:lncRNA from 1 species